rnacentral:rRNA from 1 species
GACGAACGCUGGCGGCGUGCCUAAUACAUGCAAGUAGAACGCUGAAGAGAGGAGCUUGCUCUUCUUGGAUGAGUUGCGAACGGGUGAGUAACGCGUAGGUAACCUGCCUUGUAGCGGGGGAUAACUAUUGGAAACGAUAGCUAAUACCGCAUAACAAUGGAUGACACAUGUCAUUUAUUUGAAAGGGGCAAUUGCUCCACUACAAGAUGGACCUGCGUUGUAUUAGCUAGUAGGUGAGGUAACGGCUCACCUAGGCGACGAUACAUAGCCGACCUGAGAGGGUGAUCGGCCACACUGGGACUGAGACACGGCCCAGACUCCUACGGGAGGCAGCAGUAGGGAAUCUUCGGCAAUGGGGGCAACCCUGACCGAGCAACGCCGCGUGAGUGAAGAAGGUUUUCGGAUCGUAAAGCUCUGUUGUAAGUCAAGAACGAGUGUGAGAGUGGAAAAUUCACACUGUGACGGUAGCUUACCAGAAAGGGACGGCUAACUACGUGCCAGCAGCCGCGGUAAUACGUAGGUCCCGAGCGUUGUCCGGAUUUAUUGGGCGUAAAGCGAGCGCAGGCGGUUUGAUAAGUCUGAAGUUAAGGCUGUGGCUCAACCAUAGUUCGCUUUGGAAACUGUCAAACUUGAGUGCAGAAGGGGAGAGUGGAAUUCCAUGUGUAGCGGUGAAAUGCGUAGAUAUAUGGAGGAACACCGGUGGCGAAAGCGGCUCUCUGGUCUGUAACUGACGCUGAGGCUCGAAAGCGUGGGGAGCGAACAGGAUUAGAUACCCUGGUAGUCCACGCCGUAAACGAUGAGUGCUAGGUGUUGGAUCCUUUCCGGGAUUCAGUGCCGCAGCUAACGCAUUAAGCACUCCGCCUGGGGAGUACGACCGCAAGGUUGAAACUCAAAGGAAUUGACGGGGGCCCGCACAAGCGGUGGAGCAUGUGGUUUAAUUCGAAGCAACGCGAAGAACCUUACCAGGUCUUGACAUCCCGAUGCUAUUUCUAGAGAUAGAAAGUUACUUCGGUACAUCGGUGACAGGUGGUGCAUGGUUGUCGUCAGCUCGUGUCGUGAGAUGUUGGGUUAAGUCCCGCAACGAGCGCAACCCCUAUUGUUAGUUGCCAUCAUUCAGUUGGGCACUCUAGCGAGACUGCCGGUAAUAAACCGGAGGAAGGUGGGGAUGACGUCAAAUCAUCAUGCCCCUUAUGACCUGGGCUACACACGUGCUACAAUGGUUGGUACAACGAGUUGCGAGUCGGUGACGGCAAGCUAAUCUCUUAAAGCCAAUCUCAGUUCGGAUUGUAGGCUGCAACUCGCCUACAUGAAGUCGGAAUCGCUAGUAAUCGCGGAUCAGCACGCCGCGGUGAAUACGUUCCCGGGCCU